AUGAAGAAGGCCUUCGGGUUGUAAAGUACUUUCAGUUGUGAGGAAGGGGGUAACGUUAAUAGCGUUAUCUCUUGACGUUAGCAACAGAAGAAGCACCGGCUAACUCCGUGCCAGCAGCCGCGGUAAUACGGAGGGUGCGAGCGUUAAUCGGAAUUACUGGGCGUAAAGCGCAUGCAGGUGGUUCAUUAAGUCAGAUGUGAAAGCCCGGGGCUCAACCUCGGAACUGCAUUUGAAACUGGUGAACUAGAGUACUGUAGAGGGGGGUAGAAUUUCAGGUGUAGCGGUGAAAUGCGUAGAGAUCUGAAGGAAUACCAGUGGCGAAGGCGGCCCCCUGGACAGAUACUGACACUCAGAUGCGAAAGCGUGGGGAGCAAACAGGAUUAGAUACCCUGGUAGUCCACGCCGUAAACGAUGUCUACUUGGAGGUUGUGGCCUUGAGCCGUGGCUUUCGGAGCUAACGCGUUAAGUAGACCGCCUGGGGAGUACGGUCGCAAGAUUAAAACUCAAAUGAAUUGACGGGGGCCCGCACAAGCGGUGGAGCAUGUGGUUUAAUUCGAUGCAACGCGAAGAACCUUACCUACUCUUGACAUCCAGAGAAGCCAGCGGAGACGCAGGUGUGCCUUCGGGAGCUCUGAGACAGGUGCUGCAUGGCUGUCGUCAGCUCGUGUUGUGAAAUGUUGGGUUAAGUCCCGCAACGAGCGCAACCCUUAUCCUUGUUUGCCAGCGAGUAAUGUCGGGAACUCCAGGGAGACUGCCGGUGAUAAACCGGAGGAAGGUGGGGACGACGUCAAGUCAUCAUGGCCCUUACGAGUAGGGCUACACACGUGCUACAAUGGCGCAUACAGAGGGCAGCAAGCUAGCGAUAGUGAGCGAAUCCCAAAAAGUGCGUCGUAGUCCGGAUUGGAGUCUGCAACUCGACUCCAUGAAGUCGGAAUCGCUAGUAAUCGUAGAUCAGAAUGCUACGGUGAAUACGUUCCCGGGCCUUGUACACACCGCCCGUCACACCAUGGGAGUGGGCUGCAAAAGAAGUGGGUAGUUUAACCUUUCGGGGAGGACGCUCACCACUUUGUGGUCAUGACUGGGGUGAAU
rnacentral:rRNA from 1 species